rnacentral:sRNA from 1 species
AAAGGUAAAAACACCUCCAGAUAAGGAAUAGGAACAGGCUAUGACCUAAUGCUUGCUUGGACCAGUAUAAGCAUGCCAGGGCAAAUAUUUAGGCUAAAAUGUGGGAGCUAAGAACACAAAGUACAUUGAUUUCUUUAUCACGGCUAGCAGAUAUCUAAGAAUGUCAGCACAGGUGUUUGAAUACAUUUUGCUUCUAAGAGAAGUUACUAUUUAUUCCUAAUUACACAAGGAGGAAAGUCCCUUUGAAAAGGAACCUCUAUUUCACAUUUUACAAUGAGCACAAUAUAGUUUUGCAUUGGUGUAUAUGAAUUUGAAUGAGCAAACAGCUCUUCAAGUUUUUGGGGUUUUUUUGUUUGUUUUGUUUUUUGGGUUUUUGUUUUUUGUUUUUGAGACGGAGUCUCACUCUGUCAUCAGGCUGGAGUGCAGUGGCACGAUCUUGGCUCACUGCAACCUCCGCCUCCUGCGUUCAAGUAUUCCCCUGCCUCAGCCUCCCAAGUAGCUGUGACUAAAGUCGUGCACCACAACGUCUGGCCAAUUUUUUGUAUUUUAGUAGAGACGAAGUUUCACCAUAUUGGCCAGGCGAGUCUCAAACCCCUGACCUGGUGAUCCACCCACCUCAGCCUCCCAAAGUGCUUGGAUUAUAGGCAUGAGCCUCAGCGCCCAGCCCUCUUCAAGUUUUUAUAAACCAGUUUCAGAAGUUAUGUGUUCUCAUUUUGCCCAAGACCUUUGGCCGGAGCAGAAUAUAAAAGAUUCUUUCCAAAAAGUGACACUGAAAAGAUAUGGAAAAUGUAGACAUGAGAAUUUACCUUUAAGAAAAGGCUGUGAAAGUAUGGAUGAGUGUAAGAUGCACAAAGGAGGUUAUAAUGGACUUAACCAAUGUCUCACAGCUACCCAGAGCAAAAUAUUUCAAUGUGAUAAAUAUGUAAAAGUCGCUCAUAAAUUUUCAAAUUCAAACAGACAUGAGAUAAGACAUACUAAAAAGAAACCUUUCAAAUGUAGAAAAUGUGGCAAAUCAUUUCGCAUGAUUUCAUGCCUAACUGAACAUAGCAGAAUUCAUACUAGAGUAAAUUUCUACAAAUGUGAAGAAUGUGGAAAAGCCUUUAACUGGUCCUCAACCCUUACUAAACAUAAGAGAAUUCAUACGGGAGAGAAACCUUACAAAUGUGAAGAAUGUGGUAAAGCCUUUAACCAGUCCUCAAACCUUAUUAAACAUAAGAAAAUUCAUACUGGAGAGAAACCCUACAAAUGUGAAGAAUGUGGCAAAACUUUUAACCGAUCCUCAACUCUUACUACCCAUAAGAUAAUUCAUACUGGAGAGAAACCCUACAAAUGUAAAGAAUGUGGUAAAGCUUUUAACCGAUCUUCAACCCUUACUACCCAUAGAAAAAUUCAUACUGGAGAGAAACCUUACAAAUGUGAAGAAUGUGGCAAAGCCUUUAAGCAGUCCUCAAACCUUACUACACAUAAGAUAAUUCAUACUGGAGAGAAACCCUACAAAUGUAAAAAAUGUGGAAAAGCCUUUAACCAGUCUGCACACCUUACUACACAUGAGGUAAUUCAUACUGGAGAGAAACCCUACAAAUGUGAAAAAUGUGGAAAAGCCUUUAAUCAUUUCUCACACCUUACUACACAUAAGAUAAUUCAUACUGGAGAGAAACCUUACAAAUGUAAAGAAUGUGGUAAAGCUUUUAAACACUCUUCAACCCUUACUAAACAUAAGAUAAUUCAUACUGGAGAGAAGCCUUACAAAUGUAAAGAAUGUGGAAAAGCUUUUAACCAAUCCUCAAAACUUACUGAACAUAAGAAAAUUCAUACUGGAGAGAAACCCUAUGAAUGUGAAAAAUGUGGCAAAGCUUUUAACCAGUCCUCAAAUCUUACUAGACAUAAGAAAAGUCACACUGAAGAGAAACCUUACAAAUGUGAAGAAUGUGGCAAAGGUUUUAAAUGGCCCUCAACCCUUACUAUCCAUAAGAUAAUUCAUACUGGAGAGAAACCAUACAAAUGUGAAGAAUGUGGCAAAGCUUUUAACCAAUCCUCGAAACUUACCAAACAUAAGAAAAUUCAUACUGGAGAGAAACCCUACACAUGUGAAGAAUGUGGCAAAGCCUUUAACCAGUCCUCAAACCUUACUAAACAUAAGAGAAUUCAUACUGGAGAAAAACCUUACAAAUGUGAAGAAUGUGACAAAGCUUUUAAAUGGUCCUCAGUCCUUACUAAACAUAAGAUAAUUCAUACUGGAGAAAAAUUAUAAAUAUGAAAAUUAUGGCAAAGCUUUUAACCAAUUUACAAGUCUUACUAAACACAAGAAAAUUUAUACUGGAGAGAAACUACUAACCUGAAAGAUGUGACAAUAAUUUUGACAACACCUCAGACUUGUAAUCAUACUGGUGAGAAAUUCUAAAAAUGUGAAGAAUAUGGCAAAGUCUUUAAAUGGUUGUCACACUUUAUUUUAGGUAAGAUAAUUCAUAUUGGAACAAACUACAAGUGCGAACAAUGUGGCAAAACUUUAUGCUCACACCUUAUUGCACAGAAAAGAAUUUUUAGUUGAGAAAAAGUAUACAAAUAUAAAGAAUGUGGAAAAGCCGUUAAUAUCUGCUCACGUCUUACUCAGCAUCAGAAAGUACUUAAUAAAAGCAUUAUAAAUGGAA